GAUGACGAUGAUGAUGAUGCAAAAAGACAAAAAUCCCCAACAGAAGAAGGAGAAACUAUGGAAAUAAAUUCUGAACUUGCAGCGACAAGAAUGAAUAAGAGAGUAAAACAAGUUGAAGGUGAUGAUGACGAUGAUGAUGCUAAAAGUACAGCAAAAAGACAAAAAACCCCAACAGGAGAAGGAGAAACUAUGGAAAUAAAUUCUGAACAUACAGCGACAAGAAUGAGUAAGGGAGCAAUACAUGAUGAAGAU